UAGACAGAAUGAAAAAGUUUUCCCAUUUCAUGACACUCUCACACCCUUUUACUGCAUUACAGGUGGCUUAGAAAUUUCUUAAGAGAGUUCAUACACUACAUGGGUUUCCUGAAUCAAUUAUAUCAGAUAGAGAUAAGAUCUUUCUCAGCAAUUUUUGGCAAGAGUUUUUCAAGUUGGUGGGAACUCAGUUGAAGUUCAGUACUGCCUAUCACCCCCAGAUUGAUGGACAGACUGAAAGAGUUAAUAGAUGUAUUAAAACUUAUCUAAGAUGUAUGACAUCUAGCAGGCCGGUUCAAUGGAAACAAUGGUUUCCCUUAGCAAAAUUUUGGUACAACACUAACUAUCACUGCAGCCUGCAGUAUUCUCCUUUUGAGGCCCUCUAUGGGUAUCCGCCGCCUCAUAUAUCUCUUAGACCCAUGCUUGAUUCUAUAGUACCAGUUGCAGAUGACAUGAUUAUACAGAGGCAACAAUUUCAACAAUUGCUGAAAGACCAUCUCUUUCAAGCUCAAAAUAGGAUGAAGGUUUACGCUGAUCAGAACAGAACUGAGAGAGAAUUUGUGGGGGUGAUCAAGUGUUCCUCAAACUCCAACCGUACAGGCAGACUUCCAUAUCUUUGAGAAGAAACCUUAAGCUCAGCUCCAAAUAUUAUGGUCCUUUCACAGUGUUAGCUAAGGUUGGUCUUGUGGCUUAUAAAUUGGAUCUACCUGCCCCUUCUCGUGUACAUCCUGUAUUCCAUGUUUCUUUACUCAAUAAGAAAGUGGGGUCUCGUGUUAUGAUGCAAACUAAUCUACCAUCCACCAGCUUAGAUGGCCAGUUCUUGGUGAAACCACUAGCUAUAUUACAACGCCAAUUGGUGAAAAAAGGCAAUGGCGCUGUCAAGGUGUUGGUUCAAAGGACCAAUCUACCCCCCUGAAGACUCAACCUUGGAAGACUAUGAUGAAUUGCUAGCUAGGUUCCCUGAUUUUGUUGAUCAACCUUGAGGACAAGGUUUGUUUGUAGGUGGCGGGAAUGUAAUGAACUAGCUAAGUAAAGAAUUAAAUUGGAAGGAGCUGGGAAAUUAAAACACAUGGACGAUCAGGAUUAAUUGUGAAUAAAUGAGAUCCUAUGGUUCAGAUGAAGUUAGGGGAACUUAUAACAAAAUCAAGGGAGAGCUACAGGGUAAUUAACUACCGAUAAUUUUCUCACCUUCCUCUCCGGUUCUCUCUCCCCUUUCAUCACCUUCUCUCUUCUGUUUUUUCUUCCUCCUUCUUCUCAUCUCUAUUCUAAAUCUCAAUUGCAGGUCAUGUCAAUGGAGUCUACAAUGAUUGGAUGUUGGCUACAACAUUAACAAGGCCAUACAGUGACGAAGACAUAUCAAAGGAGAUGGUACUUUCAAGCAAACGGUACGGCACAGUUAGGCGAAUAUUCAUCGUGGCUGCUGAAGAUAAAACUCUAAAGAAGGAAAUCCUAGAGUGGAUGAUAGAAAAGAACCCUCCACAUGAAGUGGAAGAGAUCUCGGGAUCUGAUCACAUGGCCAUGAUAGCUAAUCCCCAACAACUUUUUUCUCUUCUUCUGCGCAUUGCUCACAAGUGACAAGCUUCUUGAUCUGUGGUUUCAUAUUCAAUAAUAAAGUAUAUUGACAUAAAUUUUAAAAAUUGCACUUCAACUUUCCCAUGUAUUUUUGAUACUGUACCAGUUUUUGGGACGUGUGCACCCUGGAUCAAUUGAUUACACAGUUUGUUAUUAAUAACAAUGUAACAUGUUUGAAUUAUAAAAUAAAAAUUGAAGGAUCAACGAUGAAUGUUGAUCAUAUUUGGAUGACAUAUCAAAGGAGAUAGUUAUUUCAAGCAAGAAGUAUGGAUCAGUUAGGCGAGCGUAUAUUGUGGCGGCUGAAGAUAAAGUUCUAUCAAAGGAAUUUCAACAGUUAAUGAUUGAAAAGAAUCCACCAGAUCAGAUGGAAGAGAUUUCAGGAUCUGAUCACGCGCCCAUGAUGUCUAAGCCCGGUCAACUAUUUACUCUUCUUAUGCAUAUUGCCAACAAAUGACAAGCUAUCUUAUUAUCUUAAUCCAGCUUGUAUUACAUAUUCAUGAUGAAUAAUGCGUAACUGAAAUAAAAUUAGAUUACCCUUCUUCC